AACGAACGCUGGCGGCAGGCUUAACACAUGUAAGUCGAACGGAUCCUUCGGGAUUAGUGGCGCACGGGUGAGUAACACGUGGGAACGUACCCCUUGGUAAGGAAUAAUAUUUGGAAACGAAUACUAAUACCUUAUAAUAUCUUCGGAUCAAAGAUUUAUCGCCAAGGGAUCGGCCCGCGUCUGAUUAGGUAGUUGGUGGGGUAAUGGCCUACCAAGCCUACGAUCAGUAGCUGGUCUGAGAGGAUGAUCAGCCACACUGGGACUGAGACACGGCCCAGACUCCUACGGGAGGCAGCAGUGAGGAAUAUUGGACAAUGGGGGAAACCCUGAUCCAGCCAUGCCGCGUGAGUGAAGAAGGCCUUAGGGUUGUAAAGCUCUUUCAAUAGUGAAGAUAAUGACGGUAGCUAUAGAUGAAGCCCCGGCUAAAUUCGUGCCAGCCGCCGCCGUAA
rnacentral:rRNA from 1 species